GUUCACUGUCACAUAAAAAAAUACACAUUUUGAAGUAUUGGAAAAAAAAAAUUACAAAAAACUUUUUUGUUAACUUAGGUUCGCUGUCUGAAGUCUGAUGCUUUAGGAAGGGUUUUCAGCUUUUUGUAGUGGCUUGAAUUACUGUGCCCCAGCUAUCCACAGAGAUGCACACCAUAACAAAAACAAAUCUCUCUCAAGAGAACUAAUCUUAUGUCAGAUCUUGACAUCAGAGUAUACAGAUGGUUAAUCCAUUAAUCAUUAAGAAGUUGUUUUAUAUACUGAAUGAUUUGGAAUUCUCAAAGCCACUUUUUUGUUUAUAUACAAUAAAAAUCAAUUUAAAUGAUGGUUUCAAAGUUAAAACUUGAUUUAAAACAAAAUCAAACAAGUUAACAAUGACAUAAAGAAAUAUGUACCACAUGAACAGUUUAUAAGGUCAUCGUUGUAUAGCCCAACGCUUUUUGUUUUGGAGGUUUAUGCAAAGAAACAUUUCACUGUGGCCACUCCAUACACAGUGAUGCAUGCGGGCUCAAAUACUCAAGCAGCAGGCUCUGCAUGAAAUAUUGAUGGACACAUUUUCCUUCUGCUGCUGCAACUGUGCAGGCUUUUUCAAGCGCCGGAUAGCCGCCUCAGGCACAACGGUUUGCAGCUGCUCUGUAUGCAAUGUGCAGCAGUGCACAAGGAAUUGUAAGCUUUGGUGGUCACCCUGUUCCCCUGAGACAGAACAUUCAAAUACAACAACAAAGAACAGAAGAUGAAAGAGAGAGAGAGAGAGAGAGAGAGAGAGAGAGAGAGAGAGAGA